CUGUGCGUUGGUGUUCCGAUGGGCAUCCGUUACCAUGCGGAUCAGCUCCCACUCCGUGGUGUUCGGCUCCGGCCUGACCUGCAAUGUCCGCACCAACUCCUCCCUUUUUCUUUUCUCACGGUUUUCCUCGAUGAGACGCCGCUUGGCCACACGCUUGGAGUCAUCCAGGACCACUGAAAGGUGGCAGCCAGUAGCUAAACGCUCAAUAGAUGUCGGGAACAACGGUGAUGCUUUGUCGUGAUCACAAUAUGCAGGCGACAGCGGGAGGCAACUUGCAGGUAAAAAGCUGACAAAGGCGGCUAGCAGCCAAUUAUGUAUGAGGAGGACUGGAGGAUGUGGCUGAAAACAUCGCCAGAAAGCAAGCAAGAACCGACCAGAAAGUAUGAUAAUUGCAAAGCUUGCCGGCAAACUAGUUUGAAA